GACGAACGCUGGCGGCGUGCUUAACACAUGCAAGUCGAACGGAAAGGCCCUGCUUUUGUGGGGUGCUCGAGUGGCGAACGGGUGAGCAACACGUGAGUAACCUGCCCUUGACUUUGGGAUAACUUCAGGAAACUGGGGCUAAUACCGGAUAGGAGCUCCUGCUGCAUGGUGGGGGUUGGAAAGUUUCGGCGGUUGGGGAUGGACUCGCGGCUUAUCAGCUUGUUGGUGGGGUAGUGGCUUACCAAGGCUUUGACGGGUAGCCGGCCUGAGAGGGUGACCGGCCACAUUGGGACUGAGAUACGGCCCAGACUCCUACGGGAGGCAGCAGUGGGGAAUAUUGCAAAAUGGGCGGAAGCCUGAUGCAGCAACGCCGCGUGCGGGAUGACGGCCUUCGGGUUGUAAACCGCUUUCGCCUGUGACGAAGCGUGAGUGACGGUAAUGGGUAAAGAAGCACCGGCUAACUACGU
rnacentral:rRNA from 1 species